rnacentral:ncRNA from 1 species
CAAAGGCUUGGUCCUGACUUUACUAUCAACUUCAACCCAACUUAUACAUGCAAGUAUCCGCACCCCCGUGAGAAUGCCCUCAGUCCCCCGCCCGGAGAAGAGGAGCAGGCAUCAGGCUCUCUCCCACAGCCCAAGACGCCUUGCUAUGCCACACCCCCAAGGGUAUUCAGCAGUAAUAAACAUUGAGCCAUGAGCGAAAGCUCGACUUAGUUAAGGUUAUUAGGGCCGGUAAAACUCGUGCCAGCCACCGCGGUUAUACGAGUAGGCCCAAGUAGAUAGCUACGGCGUAAAGCGUGGUUAAGGUAUAAAAUGAAUAAAGCCAAAUACCCUCUAAGCUGUUAUACGCUCUUGAGACCACGAGGCCCACUUACGAAAGUAGCUUUAACACAAACCACCCGAACCCACGAAAAUUAAGAAACAAACUGGGAUUAGAUACCCCACUAUGCUUAGUCGUAAACAUAGAUGCUAACUUACAGCCAGCAUCCGCCAGGGGACUACGAGCAUCAGCUUAAAACCCAAAGGACUUGGCGGUGCUUCAGACCCACCUAGAGGAGCCUGUUCUAGAACCGAUAAUCCCCGUUCAACCUCACCACCCCUAGCCUUCCCCGCCUAUAUACCGCCGUCGUCAGCUUACCCCGUGAGGGUCUAACAGUGAGCACAAGGGGCAAACCCCAAAACGUCAGGUCGAGGUGUAGCGAAUGAGGUGGAAAGAAAUGGGCUACAUUUUCUAUAAUAGAAUAUUACGGACAGCAAACUGAAACAAAUGCUUUAAGGUGGAUUUAGCAGUAAAAAGAAAUUAGAAAGUCCUUUUGAAUUAGGCUCUGAAGCGCGCACACACCGCCCGUCACCCUCCCCUUCAACCCACUACUAAGUAAUUAACCCCCAGAAAAACACUAAGGGGAGGCAAGUCGUAACAUGGUAAGUGUACCGGAAGGUGCACUUGGAAAAAU